rnacentral:rRNA from 1 species
GACGUAGGGCGCGAGCGUUGUCCGGAUUUAUUGGGCGUAAAGAGCUCGUAGGCGGCUUGUCGCGUCGAAUGUGAAAUCUCAGGGCUCAACUCUGACAUUGCAUUCGAUACGGGCAGGCUAGAGUUCGGUAGGGGAGACUGGAAUUCCUGGUGUAGCGGUGAAAUGCGCAGAUAUCAGGAGGAACACCGGUGGCGAAGGCGGGUCUCUGGGCUGAUACUGACGCUGAGGAGCGAAAGCGUGGGGAGCGAACAGG